GGGGAUAUGACGAAGUGGUAUCGUGCAUCAUUUGCAUUCUGCUCUCGCAGCAGUAUUCAUGACUUGAUGAAAUCCCGUGUUCGAUCCGCGGUAUCUCCA
rnacentral:tRNA from 1 species